CCCUAGUAGCGGCGAGCGAAGCGGGAAGAGCUCAAAUUUAUAAUCUGGCACCUUCGGUGUCCGAGUUGUAAUCUCUAGAAAUGUUUUCCGCGUUGGACCGCACACAAGUCUGUUGGAAUACAGCGGCAUAGUGGUGAGACCCCCGUAUAUGGUGCGGACGCCCAGCGCUUUGUGAUACAUUUUCGAAGAGUCGAGUUGUUUGGGAAUGCAGCUCAAAUUGGGUGGUAAAUUCCAUCUAAAGCUAAAUAUUGGCGAGAGACCGAUAGCGAACAAGUACCGUGAGGGAAAGAUGAAAAGCACUUUGGAAAGAGAGUUAACAGUACGUGAAAUUGUUGGAAGGGAAACGCUUGAAGUCAGACUUGCUUGCUGAGCAAUCGGUUUGCAGGCCAGCAUCAGUUUUCCGGGAUGGAUAAUGGUAGAGAGAAGGUAGCAGUUUCGGCUGUGUUAUAGCUCUCUGCUGGAUACAUCUUGGGGGACUGAGGAACGCAGUGUGCCUUUGGCGGGGGUUUCGACCUCUUCACACUUAGGAUGCUGGUGGAAUGGCUUUAAACGACCCGUCUUGAAACACGGACC
rnacentral:rRNA from 1 species